rnacentral:rRNA from 1 species
CUUACCAUGCAGUCGACGGCAGCGCGGGGGUAACCCUGGCGGCGAGUGGCGAACGGGUGAGUAAUACAUCGGAACGUGUCCUGGAGUGGGGGAUAGCCCGGCGAAAGCCGGAUUAAUACCGCAUACGAUCCACGGAUGAAAGCGGGGGACCGAAAGGCCUCGCGCUCAAGGAGCGGCCGAUGGCGGAUUAGCUAGUUGGUGGGGUAAAGGCCCACCAAGGCGACGAUCCGUAGCUGGUCUGAGAGGACGACCAGCCACACUGGGACUGAGACACGGCCCAGACUCCUACGGGAGGCAGCAGUGGGGAAUUUUGGACAAUGGGCGAAAGCCUGAUCCAGCAAUGCCGCGUGUGUGAAGAAGGCCUUCGGGUUGUAAAGCACUUUUGUCCGGAAAGAAAACUUCGCCUCUAAUACAGGUGGAGGAUGACGGUACCGGAAGAAUAAGCACCGGCUAACUACGUGCCAGCAGCCGCGGUAAUACGUAGGGUGCAAGCGUUAAUCGGAAUUACUGGGCGUAAAGCGUGCGCAGGCGGUGAUGUAAGACCGAUGUGAAAUCCCCGGGCUUAACCUGGGAACUGCAUUGGUGACUGCAUUGCUAGAGUAUGGCAGAGGGGGGUGGAAUUCCACGUGUAGCAGUGAAAUGCGUAGAGAUGUGGAGGAACACCGAUGGCGAAGGCAGCCCCCUGGGCCAAUACUGACGCUCAUGCACGAAAGCGUGGGGAGCAAACAGGAUUAGAUACCCUGGUAGUCCACGCCCUAAACGAUGUCAACUGGUUGUUGGGGAUUCAUUUCCUUAGUAACGAAGCUAACGCGUGAAGUUGACCGCCUGGGGAGUACGGUCGCAAGAUUAAAACUCAAGA